UAGAUGAUGUUAUCACGAGUGAUAUGUCUUUGCUGGCACACUUCAAAUCCUCUGUUCAGUAUGCUGUGAUACAGGGGCCGUGGUGAUAUGGCCCUGCACUGUCUCCAGAGGCCGUGUGCAGAAGGCUUAGAGGCCGCUGAUGGAAGCACUGGGAGAUGGUAGAGACUUAGGGAGGCAGGGCCGGUUGGAGGAAGUUGGUGUCUGGAGAUUUGUCCUGGAAGGGCCCAGAAUCAGCAGAAUAAAUUCACACCAUGGACUAAGACCGCUGAAACCAAGGCAGAAGAAAUCUCUCUUCAUUUAAGUUGAUUUUCCUGGAGAUUUUGUCACAGUGGCAGAGAGCUAACAAGGCAGUACUGGGUCCA